GCAAUGCCGCGUGAGUGAAGAAGGCCUUCGGGUUGUAAAGCUCUUUUGUCAGGGAAGAAACGGUGUGGGCUAAUAUCCUGCACUAAUGACGGUACCUGAAGAAUAAGCACCGGCUAACUACGUGCCAGCAGCCGCGGUAAUACGUAGGGUGCAAGCGUUAAUCGGAAUUACUGGGCGUAAAGCGUGCGCAGGCGGUUUUGUAAGUCUGUCGUGAAAUCCCCGGGCUCAACCUGGGAAUUGCGAUGGAGACUGCAAGGCUAGAAUCUGGCAGAGGGGGGUAGAAUUCCACGUGUAGCAGUGAAAUGCGUAGAGAUGUGGAGGAACACCGAUGGCGAAGGCAGCCCCCUGGGUCAAGAUUGACGCUCAUGCACGAAAGCGUGGGGAGCAAACAGGAUUAGAUACCCUGGUAGUCCACGCCCUAAACGAUGUCUACUAGUUGUCGGGUUUUAAUUAACUUGGUAACGCAGCUAACG
rnacentral:rRNA from 1 species